CUUCUGCUAGCUGAAAAAAACUUGUUUCGUCUUUACAUGUGUUUCUUGUUGAAACUCUUUUUCGUCUUUGCAUGUGUUUCUUGCUGAAGCUCGUGAUUUUCAAGUUAUGGCAGUACAUAUGUCUACCCACUUGCAUGACUUCCGAUAUUGUCCUUAUUUUGCUCCUCCUUAGCCUUGUUCUGUUAGUGCAGUUCUUUUAAAUAGCAGGGACAGAGUCCCAGAAAACAUGCCUGAUUGCUUUUCUUAGUGGUGCACUUGCAAGUAUAUGUGGUCGUUUCUGUUAGUUUCUCAUGCUUUUCUACAAAGUGAUAGGUUAAUAAUGUCAUCAACAAUUUUUUCCUUAACUGAUCAAUAUCUUAGAAGUUGUCACUCAUUAGUUUUCUUUUCCUUAUCUGAUCUCUAGCGAGUAGAGUGAUUUAUUUUCGCAAUACCUAAUUCUGAUCAUAGGUAAUGAAAGAUUUGUUUUCAUUAAAUGAGAUUCUUGUUUUGUGUUGAUUUUGCAAAAUUUCUGUAGCCUCAUAUUUGCUCAAUCCAAUAGACACAUUUUAAUCAACCUUUAGUAUAAUGUUAAUAAUAUGCUUUUAGAAAAAGGGAGAUGCCAUUUAGACCUUACUCUGUCCAACUUGAUCUUCAACUUGCCGCUACUGUUUUUAAGCAUUUUCCCGAAAACUGUUGUAUUUGCUUUAGAGAAUGAGCUCACCUUACUCAGAAGAUAUGCCAAGUAAAAAAUUAGAAAUUGAACAAUUAGUUCCGCUCUUAAAUUUUGCACAACAGUCCAAAUUAUCCAAUAAAUUAUGUGUUAGCAGGGUCAGAUUAUAGAAGUUGAAUCACUUGUUCUAAAUUACCCAAUCCAAAUUAUGGAUGUUAAUAAUAUGCUUUCUGUUAGACUAUUAGUCAAAUUGUUGAAAGCCGGAGCAGGGUUGAGGAGCCGGCCUCCGCCUUUGGCCAUUACGUGAGAAGCAACACCGGUGUUGGCCGUUACCGUGUGCAGAGUGCGUGAGUUAGUGAUUUAAUUCCAUCCUUUCCAUCUCAUGAUGUGAUUUUUCCUUUAGGAUGAAUUAGUAACUUUGUGUGGAGGUGGCACCACUACCUGCUGGUUGGUGUAAUGCCGUGCUUGACAGGGUGAUCUGCAAUUCCGAGUUUGUUUAAUGGCUUAAUGUCUAAGCACUCAUCCCCUUAUUCCGUUGUGUUGCUACCAACUUGGUUUGCAAGGAACAGAGCUUCAUCUGUGUACAUCAAGAUUGCUAAUUGCCAUUUGAAGGGUGAUAGUAAGCAUGAAGAUGCCUAAGCUUAUGAGGAAGCUGCAAACUGUGAC